rnacentral:misc_RNA from 1 species
GGAAGGAUCAUUAACAAAUCAUUUUACUCUUCUGUGCUUGUGUAAUAUAAGGUACAGAAAAAGUAAUAUAUGCGCUUGUAUCAUCACUGGUACAAAUGCAAAACGCUUUUAUUGUAUUAUUGUCAUAGUAUAUAGAGUAUCUAUUCUAAUAAUUUAAAAACAACUUUUAACAAUGGAUCUCUUGGCUCUUGCAACGAUGAAGAACGCAGUAAUGUGCGAAAAGUAAUGCGAAUUGCAUACCUCUGCGAGUCAUCAUGUCUUUGAACGCAAAUGGCACUGCCACGUCAAGUGGUAGUAUGCCUGUUUGAGAACCAUAAAACCAAUCACAACUAGUUAGUUGUGGAUCUGGCCUGUCACACAUGCAUGUGUGUGUCAAGCUGAAAUUGAUUACGUUGUGUGUGAUGAUUCACCAGUGUGUUAGUGAACAGUCGUUCCAUUCACUAGUGUUUCGUCGCCAUUCAAGCAACGUUCCUGUAUCAUCAAGGUGGUACAACCCCAAACAUAUUUGGUCUCAAAUCAGGCAAGGCUACCCGCUGAACUUAAGCAUAUCAGUAAGCGGAGGAAAAGAAACUAACAAGGAUUCCCUCAGUAACGGCGAGUGAAGUGGGAAAAGCUCAAAUUUAAAAUCUGGCAGCUCUGCUGUCCGAAUUGUAGUCUAAAGAGGAGUCAUCUGUGCCAUGGUCGUGUACAAGCCCCUUGGAAUAGGGCAUCACAGAGGGUGAGAAUCCCGUUUGGACACGGCCAGAAGCGCUAUAUGAGGCUCUCUCUAAGAGUCGAGUUGUUUGGGAAUGCAGCUCAAAAUGGGUGGUAAAUUUCAUCCAAGGCUAAAUACAGGCAAGAGACCGAUAGCGAACAAGUACCGUGAGGGAAAGAUGAAAAGCACCUUGAAAAGGGAGUUAAAUAGCGCGUGAAAUUGUUAAAAGGGAAACGAUUGAAACCUCAUAUUGGGUGUGUAUUGUGUGCAUGUUGGUUGUGUGUAGAGGAGCAGUCGCUCCCUACUAGCAGUUGUCAUGUAUGACGUGCAUAUUCAGGUCGGGGACGCUUUGGACUGUGUCAGAAUGGGCGCGGAAGGUACCUACAAUUGGGUAGGCUUAUAGCCGCGUCUGAUAGCAUGGUCUGGAGGUGUUGAAGGUUGGAAUAUGAUCUGGACCAAUUGGAAGUUGUAUGCUGAACUGCUUGCAGAUUAGUGUAUGACCCUGAUUGCAAAAGUGAAAUACUCUGAUCAACCUGACGAACAGGUUUUAAACGACCCGUCUUGAAACACGGACCAAGGAGUCUAACAUGUAUGCGAGUGUUUGAGUGGCAAACUCGAGCGCGCAAUGAAAGUAAUUUAUGUGGGAACACGGCAAGUGUGCACCAUUGACCGAUCUUGAUAUCUCUUGAUAGAUUUGAGUUUGAGCAUAAAUGUUGGGACCCGAAAGAUGGUGAACUAUGCCUGGAUAGGAUGAAGCCAGAGGAAACUCUGGUGGAGGUCCGCAGCCGUUCUGACGUGCAAAUCGAUGGUCAAAUCUGGGCAUAGGGGCGAAAGACUAAUCGAACCAUCUAGUAGCUGGUUCCCUC